GACGAACGCUGGCGGCGUGCCUAACACAUGCAAGUCGAACGGAACUUCUUUAAAGGAUUUCUUCGGAAUGAAUUUGAUUAAGUUUAGUGGCGGACGGGUGAGUAACGCGUGAGUAACCUGCCUCUGAGAGGGGAAUAACAUUCUGAAAAGAAUGCUAAUACCGCAUAAUAUAUAUUUAUCGCAUGGUAGAUAUAUCAAAGAUUUAUCGCUUAGAGAUGGACUCGCGUCCGAUUAGUUAGUUGGUGAGGUAACGGCUCACCAAGACCGCGAUCGGUAGCCGGACUGAGAGGUUGAACGGCCACAUUGGGACUGAGACACGGCCCAGACUCCUACGGGAGGCAGCAGUGGGGGAUAUUGCGCAAUGGGGGAAACCCCGACGCAGCAACGCCGCGUGAAGGAUGAAGGUCUUCGGAUUGUAAACUUCUUUUAUUAAGGACGAAGAAA
rnacentral:rRNA from 1 species